AUCUCAAAAAAUGUGAUUGUGUGUGUCGUCUGUGGAAUUGCACAGAUCAGCGCGCUGACAAAGAGCUUUUAUUCAGAGAGUGGACAUUGUGGAGGGCGUACAGGCUGCACUUCCAGAGUUGUGGAAGAUAAACGCCGGCAAUGCGAAGCCUACACAUCAGGAUUAAGUGCCGGACUACUCUUUUGAGCUCAAUUUAUAAUUGAUAACAUUGAUAAAACACUUCUCUAAUCGGAAUUUGGAUAUCGAAGUUGGCCUGGAAUUUGGGAAAUUGAAAAACACAUUGGCCAGAGCCCCUCAACAGAGGUUCAGUACACUUUAGCAACUCAUAGCAGUAGGAGCUUAGAACUAAAACACAAAUUUUUUAGAAAACAAAAAACACACAAAAAUAAUUGUAAAACUCACAGCUGGGGUACUCCACGCGUUCCAGAUUUUAGUUUAAGAAAAAAGUGAUAUUUUUUAAGAGAAACCAAAAGCUCGAGUGUUUGCGAAGGACCAUAAUCAACUGAUAGCUAGACAUCCGAAAUGGGCUAAAAUAAAUCGAGACUAAAUACAAUUAACAUAGCAUACUUAUAACCGUAACUCCAUAUACUAUUACACUCGGAUACUUAAUACAUACUACAGACCCAACGGAGAUCAAUGCAACACUAGACUAUGGAAAUAACACAUGUGCAAUCGCGUUACACAUUGCAACACCAACAUCAUUUGCAAACAUCGGAGGACUGGAAUCGACUGUAGUAACACUAUACAACACUCUUUUAUAGUAGCUUGUUCGGUAACACUCGUCACAGGAGUGGAAUAAUCAACCACAACACUGAACACUUGAAAAACUACCUGUGCAAUCGCAUGACUCUGAUAACGAAAACUUCCAUCUGUUGGCUCGCCUGCUCAAAGGUAAUGUCUGACUGACAACUCUGGCCAUAUUGGGAAGCCGGAGGAAAGGGUCAUUAGCAGGAACCACACACCAGCCGUGUAUUCGCAGUCCGCGUCAACAUAAUUGAUGAGUUUUGGCUUGUAGCAAACCCGAAUAUAUCCUAGUUGUGUCCUGCGGUUCACACACGCACACACACAGCACUCGCACACUUGGAGCAC